GUCACAGCACAAAAACAUAUGAGCAAAUCGCAAAAUAUAUGGCAUGGCUUUCAGAAAAUUUUCAUUUCCAUACCAAUUCUCAUCGUCUCAUCGUUUGAAUCCUCCAUCGCGAUUCUCAUCAUCUCUGCAUCCCACCAUUGUCACGUCGUUGUCGGCGAUUGAAACCCUACUCCGAAGUGAAAAAUCAACUCUGUAAAAGUUUACAUCGACCGACUAGAUGUGGACCAAAUAUGUUGCAUCUAAAUUUUGCACAAAGAGGAAGAGGGAGAAAUAUCAUGUCAAAGAAGAGAGCAUGCCUCUAGAGAGUAACACCCAUAUCGACAUGCGACAUGUCAAUUAUCAAUCAAAUAUUACAGGCUUAGUAAAACUGAUGACAAGCACCAAGUUCUGGGAUCCUCAGCUGGACUAUUUGAGACAAACUCCGUUGUUCGAUGGUUGGGGUUGUCCACCAUAGACUAGCUAUACCAAAAUACAUUGCUAGUUUUUUUUUUUGUUGGUAAUUUUGAUAACUUAUAGUUGAAAACACUUGACAACAUAUAUAUAAAUCAAUGGUAUACUUCUCACA